rnacentral:rRNA from 1 species
GAGAAACGCUGGCGGCGCACAUAAGACAUGCAAGUCGAACGGAAUUUAGUCGAAUGUUUACAUGAGACGAAAAUUUAGUGGCGGACGGGUGAGUAACACGUGAGCAACCUGCCUUUAAGAGGGGGAUAACAUUGAGAAAUCAGUGCUAAUACCGCAUAAAGCUAGUAAAUCGCAUGAAGAUGAUAUCAAAACUCCGGUGCCUUAAGAUGAGCUCGCGUCCGAUUAACUAGUUGGUGAGGUAAAGGCUCACCAAGGUAACGAUCGGUAGCCGGACUGAGAGGUUGAACGGCCACAUUGGAACUGAGAUACGGUCCAGACUCCUACGGGAGGCAGCAGUGGGGGAUAUUGCGCAAUGGGGGAAACCCUGACGCAGCAACGCCGCGUGAAGGAAGAAGGUCUUCGGAUUGAAACUUUUGCUUUUGGGAAGNUAAAUGACGGUACCAAAGGAGGAAAGCCACGGCUAACUACGUG